AUUGAACGCUGGCGGCAGGCCUAACACAUGCAAGUCGAACGAGUGGCGGACGGGUGAGUAAUGUCUGGGAAACUGCCCGAUGGAGGGGGAUAACUACUGGAAACGGUAGCUAAUACCGCAUACCAUCGGAUGUGCCCAGAUGGGAUUAGCUAGUUGGGGGGGUAACGGCUCACCUAGGCGACGAUCCCUAGCUGGUCUGAGAGGAUGACCGGCCCAACUGGAAAUGAGCACAGGUCCAGGCUCCUACGGGAGGCAGCAGGGGGGAAUUUUGGACAAUGGGGGAAAACCUGAUCCAGCCAUGCCGCGUGUAUGAAGAAGGCCUUCGGGUUGUAAAGUACUUUCAGCGGGGAGGCGUUACUCGCAGAAGAAGCACCGGCUAACUCCGUGCCAGCAGCCGCGGUAAUAC
rnacentral:rRNA from 1 species